ACAGCUGGGUCCUAUGGUGUUGCCCUGACAGUUCUCGCAGAUGCCUGAGAGAACAGGGGGAGGGAGAGAGAGUUGAGUAAACAGACCCAGAGCAGUGACUGACAGGACUUUGGUCCAGUGAGGUGGACAAGAGUGGAACAGAGUCCAUCAGCGCUAGACAUAAGAAAACUGAAGUUAGGAGACAGACAGAAGAAAAAACUGUGAGAUUGAGUAGACGUGCUUCUAAGGAGUGUGCAAGACUGAAACAUAUGAAAAUAAGGAAGGAACUUGGAAAGAGAUCAGACCUCACCCAAGUCUCCAGGGCCAGAGAGCAAAGCAAGAGCAGGAUCAUUAGUGUUCAAACGCUGUUCCCAGUGUUUAAGAUGGAUGAGUGUCCACAGCUAAAGCCUUAUGCAAACACUCCCUUUGGUCCAGCUCUAACUCUUCUCUCAUUCCAUAACUGAAAACUGACACAGAGGUCAGAGGAAAGCAAGAUCAGAGUCAGGAAUACAAUUAACAAUGAUAUAUUUACAUAUGAGCAUGCAGCAGUAGACAUGAGAACACAUGCAAACUUUUGCUAAUGCUCCAGUUGUAGAAUAUCUAAAUCUAGCAGAAUCAAGUGAACUAUAGUGAAGAAAUGUGAAAGGCAGCAUUUACUAUAGAAUUCAGUUUUGCAGCCCAUAUAUAUAUAUAUAUAAAAAACAAUACUAUUUUUUUUUUUUAUUAUUAUAUUAAAAUGUGUUUUUCCCCCCAAUAAAAUUCCAUUGAUUAAAUUUUUUUUGUGAAUGUAUAACUUUAACUAAACAUUGUUAUAUAAACAUCCAGUCAGUAAGUGAGUAAGAUGCUAACUGAGUAAUUGCUCUGACAGAUUCGGUGACUCAUUUGUUAGAUUGACUCAAACUUCAGUUCAUGAGUUUUUCUUUAUACCAGUUCAUUAAAAGAACUGGCUCAGACUACACGGACUGUGUUUGUUUUUAGAUAAAAAUGUGUGGUCUGUUUAUUGUCUUUGUAUUAUAUUGUAGUAUAUGCAGUCUCAAUACCGUAUACAUACAAUUAAACUAAAAACUCACAAAUCGGGUAAAAUUAUUUUCUUUUGCUGUGGCUCUGUAGAUUCAGCAGUGGCCCUAACUCUGCCACACACACAAGGCCUGUAAAUGAGUGAAAGGCCAAAGAGAGGUGCAUUGUGUGUCUGAAAAAUGGCUGUAUUAUGCAGUAGGUGGUCGUUCAGUGCCUGACGGUCUUCAAUGACUUUGAGCUUGUGGUUCCAGUAGAGAUCAGGGAGAGAACACAAAUCAGGAUUCAGUGAGGACAGAGGGACAAAAUUCAAUACCUCACAGCAAGAAUCUAAGCAGAGGUCGGGAUCAUAAUGUGCAUUAACAAACAAAUAUAUAGGCAGAAACAGAUCCUUAUGCAGUUUUACACAUAGCUGAAUCAAAAAAGCUGGGAAAUCAAAAACUUUAGGUUUGACUAUAUGUCACUUGAUCUGAGAUAAACAUUUUUAUAAAUAACAUCCUUCUUUGAUUACGGUCAAGACAAAUUUAAUUACAGAGCACAUUUAAAAACAAGAAUUGUCCAAAAACGUGGUGCAAAGUGAGACUAGAUCAACAUGGGAAAAAAAAGAGAAAGCAUAAUAUACAAAAAAGGUUAGUCAAAUGACAGGAUUUAAAUUGAUAGUAGGGAUGGACCCAACACCCACUGCUGAACUGCUUCAUAGCCUUGAGGCAGUCAGACAGCAGAAAGGGACUGUUUGAGGACCUCAGAGCAAUAAUGAAGGCUGGAUUAUUUCAGUGGAGUGAGUGAAUACCAGCCACUUCAAUAGAAUGAAUAGCAUGAUUGACUACAGUACGUCGAAAGCAAUGUUAAGAUCCAGAGAAUUGGCAGAGUUUCCAGAGUUCACAGACAACAUCAUUAGAGACUUUAAGAAGAGCCAACUCUGUGCUAUGCUGUGCCCUGAAGCCCAAAUGAGAUUCCUCUAAAAUAUUAUUCCAGUUAAAAACAAAAAUGAAGAAAAACAACUUUUUGGAAACUGGGUUGAAAAGGUUGAAAAUUAAUAAGAUCCAAGCGGGUCAAAAAAAAAAAAAAAAAAAAAAAAAAAAAAAAAAAGAAA